rnacentral:rRNA from 1 species
GGGUCAGUAGGUUGGUCGUGCCACCGGUACGUACUGGUCUCACUGAUUCCUCCUUCCUGAAGAACCGUAAUGCCAUUAAUUUGGUGUUGCGGGGAAACAGGACUGUUACUUUGAGAAAAUUAGAGUGUUUAAAGCAAGCUAACGCUUGAAUACAUUAGCAUGGAAUAAUGAAAUAGGACGAUCGAUCCUAUUUUGUUGGUUCCUAGGAUUGACGUA